rnacentral:rRNA from 1 species
UACGGAGGGUGCAAGCGUUAUCCGGAUUCACUGGGUUUAAAGGGUGCGUAGGCGGGCAGUUAAGUCCGUGGUGAAAUCUCUGAGCUUAACUCAGAAACUGCCAUGGAUACUAUCUGUCUUGAAUAUUGUGGAGGUAAGCGGAAUAUGUCAUGUAGCGGUGAAAUGCUUAGAUAUGACAUUAGAACACCAAUUGCGAAGGCAGCUUGCUACACAGUUAUUGACGCUGAGGCACGAAAGCGUGGGGAUCAAACAGG